rnacentral:rRNA from 1 species
AUGAACGCUAGCUACAGGCUUAACACAUGCAAGUCGAGGGGAAACGAUAGGGAAAGCUUGCUUUUUCUAGGCGUCGACCGGCGCACGGGUGAGUAACGCGUAUCCAACCUGCCCAUGUCUGGGGAAUAACCCGUCGAAAGGCGGACUAACUCCCCAUGGUCUCCGAUGAGGACAUCUGAAUUGGAGUAAAGCUUCGCGGACAUGGAUGGGGAUGCGUCUGAUUAGGUAGUAGGCGGGGUAACGGCCCACCUAGCCUGCGAUCAGUAGGGGUUCUGAGAGGAAGGUCCCCCACAUUGGAACUGAGACACGGUCCAAACUCCUACGGGAGGCAGCAGUGAGGAAUAUUGGUCAAUGGACGAGAGUCUGAACCAGCCAAGUAGCGUGCAGGAUGACGGCCCUAUGGGUUGUAAACUGCUUUUGCGCGGGGAUAACACCCUCCACGUGCUGGAGGUCUGCAGGUACCGCGCGAAUAAGGACCGGCUAAUUCCGUGCCAGCAGCCGCGGUAAUACGGAAGGUCCGGGCGUUAUCCGGAUUUAUUGGGUUUAAAGGGAGCGUAGGCCGUGAGGUAAGCGUGUUGUGAAAUGUAGGCGCCCAACGUCUGCACUGCAGCGCGAACUGCCCCACUUGAGUGCGCGCAACGCCGGCGGAACUCGUCGUGUAGCGGUGAAAUGCUUAGAUAUGACGAAGAACCCCGAUUGCGAAGGCAGCUGGCGGGAGCGUAACUGACGCUGAAGCUCGAAAGCGCGGGUAUCGAACAGGAUUAGAUACCCUGGUAGUCCGCGCGGUAAACGAUGGAUGCCCGCUGUGGCGCGCCUGGCGUGCCGCGGCUAAGCGAAAGCAUUAAGCAUCCCACCUGGGGAGUACGCCGGCAACGGUGAAACUCAAAGGAAUUGACGGGGGCCCGCACAAGCGGUGGAGCAUGUGGUUUAAUUCGAAGCAACGCGAAGAACCUUACCAAGUCUUGACAUCCUUCUGACCGGUACUUAAUCGUACCUUCUCUUCGGAGCAGGAGUGACAGGUGGUGCAUGGUUGUCGUCAGCUCGUGCCGUGAGGUGUCGGCUUAAGUGCCAUAACGAGCGCAACCCCUCUCCGUAGUUGCCAUCGGGUAAUGCCGGGCACUCUGCGGACACUGCCACCGUAAGGUGUGAGGAGGGUGGGGAUGACGUCAAAUCAGCACGGCCCUUACGUCCGGGGCCACACACGUGUUACAAUGGCCGUCACAGAGGGGAGCCGGGCGACCGGCUCAUGAUCCUUAAAAACGGUCUCAGUUCGGACUGGGGUCUGCAACCCGACCCCACGAAGCUGGAUUCGCUAGUAAUCGCGCAUCAGCCAUGGCGCGGUGAAUACGUUCCCGGGCCUUGUACACACCGCCCGUCAAGCCAUGAAAGCCGGGGGCGCCUGAAGUCCGUGACCGCAAGGAUCGGCCUAGGGCGAAACUGGUGAUUGGGGCU